rnacentral:rRNA from 1 species
AGUGAACGCUGGCGGUAGGCCUAACACAUGCAAGUCGAACGGCAGCACAGUAAGAGUUUGCUCUUACGGGUGGCGAGUGGCGGACGGGUGAGGAAUACAUCGGAAUCUACUUUUUCGUGGGGGAUAACGUAGGGAAACUUACGCUAAUACCGCAUACGACCUACGGGUGAAAGCAGGGGAUCUUCGGACCUUGCGCGAUUGAAUGAGCCGAUGUCGGAUUAGCUAGUUGGCGGGGUAAAGGCCCACCAAGGCGACGAUCCGUAGCUGGUCUGAGAGGAUGAUCAGCCACACUGGAACUGAGACACGGUCCAGACUCCUACGGGAGGCAGCAGUGGGGAAUAUUGGACAAUGGGCGCAAGCCUGAUCCAGCCAUACCGCGUGGGUGAAGAAGGCCCUCGGGUUGUAAAGCCCUUUUGUUGGGAAAGAAAAGCAGCAGGUUAAUACCCCGCUGUUCUGACGGUACCCAAAGAAUAAGCACCGGCUAACUUCGUG